rnacentral:misc_RNA from 1 species
CAACUUCCACCUGGCUUACCUCCNUCAUUUAUGCGUCAUGACUUGUAUCGUCUUGAGCGUAUUGUGGGUUUCCUGUGUUGCAUACCUUUCUAAUGGUAUCGUGUUGAUUGAUCGAAGUCCCUUUUCAUCUUGUGUUGCUUUUUGCGACGCAUGAUGAACCUUGAGGCGGUCUCUAUGUUCCACCACGUUGAUGCUACUGUUUCGAUGUUGUGGCCCAUUGAGCGUUGCUUGGUUUUGUGGAUACAGAACAUGAUUUGGGCAUAGGGUUACUUAUGACUCUUGUUCUGUCCUUUAUCAGUGUUCUUUAUAACGACGGUUCAUGCGCGCCUAGGCUCGUACCUGCGCGAUGUUCUUUGUCGAAGAGGAAUGCUACCUGGUUGAUCCUGCCAGUAGUCAUAUGCUUGUCUCAAAGAUUAAGCCAUGCAUGUGUAAGU